GGAGAGAUGCCGGAGUGGCCGAACGGGGCUGCCUGCUAAGCAGUUGUCCUGGCAACGGGACCAAGGGUUCGAAUCCCUUUCUCUCCGCCA
rnacentral:tRNA from 2 species